rnacentral:rRNA from 1 species
UAGGGAAUAUUAGUAAUGGGCGAAAGCCUGAACUAGCAACGCCGCGUGUGCGAAGAAGGCCUUCGGGUCGUAAAGCACUUUUUGAGAGGAUGAGGAAGGACGGUACUCUCAGAAUAAGUCUCGGCUAACUACGUGCCAGCAGCCGCGGUAACACGUAGGAGGCAAACGUUAUCCGGAUUUACUGGGCGUAAAGCGCGUGUAGGUGGUUUGGUAAGUAGGGCGUGAAAGCUCCUGGCUCAACUGGGAGAGGACGUUCUAAACUGCCAAGCUUGAGGAUGGUAGAGGGAGGUGGAAUUCCGGGUGUAGCGGUGGAAUGCGCAGAUAUCCGGAGGAACACCAGUGGCGAAGGCGGCCUCCUGGACCACUCCUGACACUCAGACGCGAAAGCUAGGGUAGCAA